GAUUGUAAAGCAAAACUGAUUGGCUAUAGCGAGAUCGUGCUAUGAUUGGUCAGCGAAAUGUGGCUGUUAUCUGAUUGGCUUGAGUAGACGGUGGGUGGAGUCCACGUAUUUGUGGAUUGUUAGCACGCCUUGACACCAGGAAUUUUUUACAAUUCACAAAUACACAGGACGCGAUUCACAAAUGCAUGCAGCUAUCUACAAAUGCGCAGGACGCAAUUUAAAAAUAAAUGCCAGGCAAAGUUGUGGUUGUGACAUAAAUAUAUAUUUGUGGAUAUGUUUUUUUAUUUGCAAAUCUCAUUUUAUUUAUUUGUGAAUUUUGUUUGUGAAACUUUAAGAUUUAUUUGUGGAUCAUAAUCUAUUUAUUUGGAAUUAAGCAACAAUUCUAUCUCCAUAGAAAGAUGUCCAAAAGAAGCCACAUUCUUAUCCAUACAAUCAAAGUUUUACUGCAAAAUGCAAAUACAUUCCAAGCCACAAUGUAAAAGAAGUGAAGUGAAAUUCAAAAACGUGUUUUGUAUGAAAGGCUCUGAGUUGUAAGUUGAUUAAAAUGUUUCACAGCUGUAAUAUUAGGCUACUAGGGAGCUUUCAUGUCCAAACAAACUUUUAAGGCAGGUUUUGGAUCAAAAGCAUUGUUUGUUAUGCUGGUUGUCCUGAUAGCAAUCACUAAGUAGGUCCAAAUAUAUUUAUUAUAUCAUCUGUGGAAGGCGGACCAUAAAAAGUUCAUCCAAUCACAUCGCUCGGUCCGAGGGUUAUGAUAGGCUGUCCUACCUGACUGUCAAGGUGUUACGUCGCGCAUCCUAUUCGCGCAGAUGUCAUACGUCAUCAACGCGUUCCCGCUGUUCAGAUCGAGCGACAAUGGAAGGCAAACAGGAGCUCGCCAAAAAAAUAAAAUUAGAAGAAGAAGAGCAGCAAUGUCCUAAUGUCGCUUCUGAACCGACAAGAAGUUGCGCAGGCAAACGCUCGAGAAGAAAGACAGUCUAUGAAAAAGCUAUGACGAAAAGACGACUGGAGCAGGAAAGAGCUAAAACCCGAGUUACCAUCGGCGCUGCUUUUCCCCGCUGGAGACAACUGCGAGAGUCAAAGUGUCUGAAAACCGAUGCCAUGGUUGCACUUUUUCUUCUGGACAGUUACGAGAAAAGUACAACAUCCACACCUUUGCUGCAUGAAUUCAUAAAGCCACCACCAGAGGUUUCUACCGUUUUUUUCCGAGUCUUCCUAUGAACAGCCUGAAAUCAAGUUUCUCAUUAAGGAGGAAGAGGAGGAGAAACCUACCUGUAAAAUUAAGAGUUUAUGAGGAGACAGAGUAGGAUGCUUCUGUUGGCACUUAGUGAGCAUCAUCUCUGGGAUGCAGCUGUGUGUUUAUGAAGAGUAACAAAUCCAUGAAUGAUAUUCCCCCUGUUCUCAGAGAUGGACCUGCUGUGAACUCUGACUCUCUGUGAGUAUCAUGUAGUUCUGGGUCCAGACUCUGUUGGUGCCUUCAAUUAAAUAUUAUAUUGUUGCACUUUAAAUGAAUUGAACUUCAAUUUACUGUGAAAACACAAAACUUGUAAAUCAAUAUUAUACAACAAGAUUACAUAGCAUGUAAGCAUAUAAAAAAGUUAAUAAUUUAAGAUAAUAAUAAUAAAAAAAAUACAUUUGAUCA
ensembl:lncRNA